rnacentral:rRNA from 1 species
CCUACGGGAGGCAGCAGUAGGGAAUCUUCCACAAUGGGCGAAAGCCUGAUGGAGCAACGCCGCGUGGGUGAAGAAGGUCUUCGGAUCGUAAAACCCUGUUGUUAGAGAAGAAAGUUCGUGCGAGUAACUGUUCACGUUUCGACGGUAUCUAACCAGACAGCCACGGCUAACUACGUGCCAGCAGCCGCGGUAAUACGUAGGUGGCAAGCGUUAUCCGGAUUUAUUGGGCGUAAAGGGAACGCAGGUGGUCUUUUAAGUCUGAUGUGAAAGCCUUCGGCUUAACCGGAGUAGUGCAUUGGAAACUGGGAGACGUGAGUGCAGAAGAGGAGAGUGGAACUCCAUGUGUAGCGGUGAAAUGCGUAGAUAUAUGGAAGAACACCAGUGGCGAAAGCGGCUCUCUGGUCUGUAACUGACGCUGAGGUUCGAAAGCGUGGGUAGCAAACAGGAUUAGAUACCCUUGUAGUC